GACGAACGCUGGCGGCGUGCUUAACACAUGCAAGUCGAACGGGUCUGCCCUGUCUUUUGCGGGGUGGGUCAGUGGCGAACGGGUGAGUAACACGUGAGUAACCUGCCUCUCACUUCUGGAUAACCGCUUGAAAGGGUGGCUAAUACGGGGUGUUCUGGUUGUGCCGCAUGGUGUGGCUGGGAAAGAUUCACUUCUGUGGCUUUUUGGUGGGGGCUGGGCUCGCGGCCUAUCAGCUUGUUGGGGGGGUGAUGGCCUGACGAGGCGUUGACUGGUAGCCGGCCGGGGGUGGUCGGCCGUCACACUGGGGAUAAGAGGCGGACCAGCCUACGGGGGGAGGCAGCAGUGGGGGGUAUUGCACGAUGGGCGGAAGGCUGAUGCAGCGACGUCGCGGGAGAGAUGGAGGCCUUCGGGUUGUGAACCUCUUUCGCCGAUGAAGAAGGUCCUGCUCUUUGUGGUGGGGUUGACGGUAACCGGGUUAUGAAGCGCCGGCUAACUACGUG
rnacentral:rRNA from 1 species